rnacentral:lncRNA from 1 species
UAGACUCCUGCGUGAAGAUCCUAGGGCUUGGCGGUAGUUUUCCAGUAGCAGUUUUUCCUGUUCUGUGCUGUUAGUCGAGAUGUCCGUGCUGUGUCGAGGGUUCUAGGCUGUAAAUUUGAAAUCUGGGUUCGGGUGCACCUGUGAUCCGGUGCACCCUUGUGUGUGCGUGAGAAACUGUGGCGACGAUCGCGUUGUACUAAGCUUAUGUAUUUGUGUAACUGAAUUGGGGUAAUUGAAUCUUCAUUUUAGCAAAAUCCUUCUGAAAUUUGUCACAGUUUACGUUGAUUCCUUUGCCCAAAUGUUUGGUACUGCACAAUUGAAAUUCUAGUGUCCUCUGCACAAUUGAAAUCUUGUGCUGUCUCGUGGAACAUGGAAUCUAUUUUGAGAUCUGAAUUUAGAGUUUGUAUUUGAUGGCAACUGCCGAGCAAAUCUCGUCGGGUGUCGAUUCAGUCUAGUAGUUGGCUUCAUGAGCUGUAAAUAAGAAGGCUGUUGUAUUCUUCUCUGUACACUGCCAGGUUCAGAAUGAAAGGCGGGCUUGAAAAGCUCGAGAUCGACGAAUGUUUUCAGCUAUGGCCGGAGCGCGUUUGGGAACGGCAGCGCGGGCCUUUGGAAUGGUCCACAAGCACAGGGGCUGCUGCGCUAGAAGAUUCGCAGUACCGUUGGCUCCGGUGACCUGGCAGUCUGGCAGGAUGUUUUGGGUGAUGCGUGCGGAGUGACUGCAGUGUUACCGUUUCCGAGCCCAUCCCUGUGCUACGCAUUCUCUCACCAAUGUCAGCAUGGUGCUGUGAGUGAGCGACAAGAAACUUGCGGCAUGUGAAUGUGCAGCAAGCGUGUUUUACUCGGGAUGUACCACACGAGUGGCUAAACGUGAGAGCAUCUCUCGUCGCCCCGGCGCCGAAAAAAUCCCCAGUCACGCGCUUCCAGGAUGCCGAAAUCCGCCGGCUUGACCCAUUUUUUACCUGGUGAUCCNNNNNNNNNNNNNNNNNNNNNNNNNNNNNNNNNNNNNNNNNNNNNNNNNNNNNNNNNNNNNNNNNNNNNNNNNNNNNNNNNNNNNNNNNNNNNNNNNNNNNNNNNNNNNNNNNNNNNNNNNNNNNNNNNNNNNNNNNNNNNNNNNNNNNNNNNNNNNNNNNNNNNNNNNNNNNNNNNNNNNNNNNNNNNNNNNNNNNNNNNNNNNNNNNNNNNNNNNNNNNNNNNNNNNNNNNNNNNNNNNNNNNNNNNNNNNNNNNNNNNNNNNNNNNNNNNNNNNNNNNNNNNNNNNNNNNNNNNNNNNNNNNNNNNAAGCAUCUUGCACUUUCAGAUUGACCCCCUCCCGCGCACAUGCCCUACCGCUGCCGUGCCGAUCCCGGCGUCGCCUACCCAUCCACCGCCGCUAGAAAGGCCAUUCCCCUGCCGGAAAAGAGGGUGUUCCGCUGCGGCAGCCUCCAUCUCGCUCCUAGGCGAGCUUUCCGGUGCUGUGGCCACACAGGGCGGGAAUACCGGCGGCUGCACGCCUACCACGCCUGCCAGGUGUUCGGCGAUUUGUGUGCUCGGCGAUGGACUUGGACGACGAGGAGGCGUUUGCGGCGCUGUUGGAGGAGGAAGCCGAUGCCGACGCCCAGGACGAAGAGCAUCUCAUGGUCCUCGCCGCUCUGGCCGGCCUGUUCGCGAGCAAUGCAAGGCCGUGACGAGGUGGCUCGGCGCCGGGCCGGCUGAAGGCUAAGCAAAGGCAUCGACUGGAAGGCUAUUGCUUGCUCUACUCCGACUACUUCGCCGAUGCUCCACUGCACCGCGAGAAAGUAUUUCGGCGCCGUUAUCGGAUGAGCCGAAAGCGCUUCCUCAGGAUUGUGAAUUCUAUCCGUGAGUUCGACAGCUACUUCAAGUGCAAGAAGGAUUACACCAGCACACUUGGAUUCACCUCACUCCAGAAGUGCACGACAGCUAUGAGGAUGCUUGCAUACGGAGCUCCCGAUGAUUCACUCGAAGACUAUGGACGCAUGGCCGAGUCCACGACCAUUGAGUGUUUGUACAAGUUCUGUAGGGCAGUGGUGAUAGUGUUUGGACCGCAAUACUUGCGAUCACCAAAUGCUGAAGACACUGCUCGGAUCCUAGCACAGAAUGCAGCAAGAGGAUUUCCUGGGAUGCUUGGAAGCAUCGACUGCAUGCAUUGGAAAUGGAAAAACUGUCCAUUUGCUUGGCAAGGGAUGUACAAAAGCGCCAAAGGUGGUUGCAGUGUGGUACUUGAGGCACUGGCCACACACGACCUCUGGAUUUGACGCUCCUUCUUUGGUAUGCCAGGAACUCACAAUGACAUCAACGUACUGCAGUGCUCCCCUGUCUUUUCCAAGCUUGUUGAAGGCCAUUCUCCUCCAGUGAACUUCGAGGUCAAUGGGCGGCACUACAAUAAGGGAAACUACCUAGCAGAUGGCAUCUAUCCAAGAUGGUCUGCAUUUGUGAAGACUAUCUCAAACCCUGUGCCAAGAGGCAAGAACUCACACUUUACCAAGUAUCAGGAGACUUGCAGGAAGGAUGUCGAGCGGGCAUUUGGUGUUCUCCAAUACCGAUUUGCUGUUGUCCGAUACCUCGCUCACACUUGGUCGAAAGAUUGUGGGGGGUCAUGACUUGCUGUGUCAUCUUGCACAACAUGAUCACUGAGAGCGAGCAGGAAGAGCUAGUGUUUGAUAGUGAACCAUAUUACAGGCAGGGUCCCCUUGCCCAAGCUGAUCACCAGCUACCGGCAACCUAGAAUGCCUUACUCAAUAUGCGUCAGGUGAUCCGAGACUCACAGGUGCAUCAACAACUGCAGCAGGAUCUGGUGGAGCACCUAUGGAGGCUCAAGGGCAACGCCUAGCUCGACGUGUGAUGAAAUAUGAGUUUUUAUUUGUUGAACUAUAUGAUUUGUAUUGAUUUGUUGAACUAUUUGAUUUGUAAUGAUUUUCUAUGAUGAACUAUGUGAUAAAAAUAGCUUCUAUUGAAUUUGUGCCGAAGCACGUCGAAUAUGGGCCGAAAUUGGUCAAUUUGCGCCGAUAGUGGGCCAAUUUGCGCCAAAAAUGGGCUGAAAGUGGGCCAAUUUGCGCCGAAAGUGGACCGAAAUCAGCGCUUGAGAGCGACCUUGGGGGAGGGGGGGGGCUGGGAACCCGAGCCCCCCAUGCUGAUUUUUCCGCCGGCGCACCCCCAGACGGCGCUAUUUCAAGCCCAUGAGGGGAAGAACGGCUCGAGAUGCUCCGAGGACCUAUGAAUGACGAAACAACCAGAGGGGCGAGCAACAGUGUGGCAUAAUGCACAAAAUUGGCCGGGCGCCUAGAAAAUUGAGCCACAUGCUUAAAAAGGUAAAUCACCGAAUUCAUAUUCGAAAUAAUUUAUUUGUGAUAUAUAACUUAUAUUACAUUGUCAAAUUGAUAAUCCAAGUCGGACUUUACAAUCCGAGAGGGAGGGGCGAACGAGUAAGCGGGUAGCACAACAUAUGCAUAGAUGGCACCGAUUAUAUACUCCUGAGCCCAUAGUAAACCACGGGACAAACCACUAUGCUCCAAUUUCUACUAUUAUCAAAUAUUUUGUUAUUUAACCUCUUGACGAUCACAAUAGUUGCAACAUGUUAAGGUAACUAAUGAGAUUCACUAUCUAUUAUAGGCAGUUUGACAAGCUCACCGGGGCGUAUCGAAAGGUUGAGGAAGGAAGGAGAAGAGAGACACGAGAGAGUGUAGCCGCCACCGCACUCCUAAGUGCUAGGGCAGAGAGACCGCUGAUUAUGUAUUGCUUUCCUUCUUGGGCCUUGAAUCCAUUAUGGCCCCACUGACUCUGGGGUUGUGCUUCCUCACCCUUGUAAUCUUGGGCCUGAUCACCCUUCGUUUCAUGUUGUCACUUGGAGUAGAUGCCGUGUCGGGUUUGUCUGGAGCAACAGGGGAAGUAGAGGUAGAAUCGUAGAAGUGUCGCCAAUAAUGCCCUCUUCUUGAAAUCCGUCUUGUCCCCUAGCUGGAGCUUCAAGGUGGCCUUGACGUAGCCGACGAGGUCCUCCCGUAUCACCUUGUCUGCUGUGGAGUAAGACCAGCGGAAGAGAACUCGUCCAACUGGCUUGUGAUUGGUCUUUUUGUUGCACCGAUCAAGGGUUUGCAGUGGUGCCUAGGCUGGAGCUCUUGGGAAGCGUCGAUGAAGAUCAUCAAUGUCUUUCUAGGUGGAGGCACCCAUGGUUUCCCUAGUAUAAGUGGCGAGGCCAUGGCACACCAUUUUGUUGGCAAAUUUGCACCAAUGAUACACAACACUUUAGGGGUAGCUGAAAUCAGGUUCAUUAGUGGGGAGAGGACUCACUGGCUGGUCGAUGGGAAGAUGCGCUUUCUUGCGCUGCAAUACAUCAAACACAGGAUGAACAAGCGAGUCACCGGUAGAUAAAGCAUGUAAGCCACUACCCCAACUCUAGCUAUGACCAUGAACGACCAAAAGAACUUGAAUGCGAGCUUGUGGCAUGCACACUUGGUGACCAAUAAUUGGAUGUAAGGCUACAACUCCAGGUACACCUUGUUGGAUAGGUCUCUCUUAUCAAUGUUUAUCUGCAUGGUCCUUCAUCCUUUGUUGUGCUCUAUGCAAGUGUUGCUUGACCGACUUAUGAACACUUGUCUUUCUUCCAUCCAUGCCCUCACAUCCAUAGGUUGGCAAACAUCCACCAAAGCUAGUCCUUGUCAUCGAGGCUAUCUGGCAUGAUUCCGGCAGAUCCCUCGAUAGGGUAUCCCGACGAGGUGAGUAGAUAAGAGGGGAAACAGGAGACCAUGUCAAAGAUUGAGAAGAUAUGUCUAGAUUGGGGGGAGGGGGUAUCCAACUUGCUUGCUCAUGAAGAUCUCGGGCAUUUGAGGAAGCUCAUCAUCGGAAUAUACAAGCCAAGUUCUAUAAUGAAAAAUACCCACUAGUAUAUGAAAGUGAUACAUAGGAGACUCUCUAUAUAAAAAACAUAGUGCUACUUUGAAGCACAAGUGUGGGAAAGGAUAGUAACAAUGCCCCUUCUCUCUUUCCCCCCCUUUCCCCCCUCUUUUUUUUAUGUUUUUUCUUUUUUCCUUUUCUUUUUUCUUCUUCUUCUUUUCUUCUUCUUCUUUUUUUCUUUUCUCUCUCUCACUGUCCAGAGUCUCAUCCCGACUUAUGGGGGAAUCAUAGUCUUCAUCAUCCUUUCCUCACCGGGACAUGCUCUAAUAAUGAAUAAUGAUGAUAAUCACACUUAUAUUUACUUACAACUCAAAAGAAAUAAAAAUUACAAAUCGAUGCCUAGAACAAAGUAUGACUCUAUAUGAAUGCCUCUGGCAGUGUACCAGGAUGUGCAAUGAUCUAGCAUAAGAACGAUAUCAAAAAACAGACAAGCCAUGGAAAUAUCAUGCUAGCUAUCUUACGAUCAUGCAAAGCAAUAUGACAAUGAAUGCUCAAGUUAUCAAUAUGGACCCGGUGGAAGUUGCACGACAAUAUAUCUCGGAAUGGCUAUGUAAAGGCCAUAAUAGGUAGGUAUGGUGGUUGUUUUGAGGAAGAUAUAGUAAGGCUUAUGUGUGAUAGAGCGUAUCAUAUCACGGGGUUUGGAUGCACCUGCAAAGUUUGCACCACAUCUCGAGGUGAGAAAGGGCAAUGCACGGUACCGUAGAGGCUAGCAAACUGUGGAAAGGUAAGAGUGUGUAUAAUCCAUGGACUCACAUUAGUCAUAAAGAACUCAUAUACUUAUUGCAAAAUUUUAUUAGCCCUCGAAGCAAAGUACUACUACGCAUGCCCCUAGGGGGAUAGAUUGGUAGGAAAAGACCAUCGCUCAUUCCCGACCGCCACUCAUAAGAAAGACAAUCAAUAAUAAAUCAUGCUCCAACUUCAUAGCAUAACGAGAGACUAUACGUGCAUGCUUCAGGGAUCACAAACCUUAAGACCAAUAUUCUUACUAACCACAUCCAUUUACUAGUACCUGCCACAUAUUACCAUCUCUAUAUCGCUAAAUUAUUGCAAGGAAUCAGUGAUCCAUAAGUUUUAUGUAGGAUUUUAUGACUAACCAUGCAAAUGACCAAUUCCUGUUGACUCUCUAAAUUGAUAUAAGUGAAGCAUGAGAGUUUAAUUCUUUCUACAAAAGACCAUGCUCUAAUAAAUAUAAGUGAAGCAAAAGAGCAUUCUACAAAUAACGGUUUUCCAUGUGAAGAGAAACAGACAAUCCAAACUUCAAAUGAUAUAAGUGAAGCACAUGAAGCAUUCUAUAAAGCCAGACUCAAAAGAUAUAAGUGGAGUGCAAUGAGCAUUCUAUAAAUCAACCAUUGACGAUCUCAUACUAGCAUGGUGUAUAAAAGAAAAAUGAAAACUAAACAAAAGACGCUCCAAGAUUUGCGCAUAUCACAUGAAAGAAACAAAGACGAAAACUUACCGAUACUUGUUGAAGAAAGAUGGGAUGCCUUCCGGGGCAUCUCCAAGCUUAGACGCCUGAGUCUCCUUAGAUAUUUGCUUGGGGUGCCUUGGGCAUCCCCAAUCUUGAGAUCUUGCCUCUCCUCCUUCUCCUCAUAUCGAGACCUCCUCGAUCUUUGAUCACUUCAUCCACACAAAACUCAACAGAAACCUCGUGAGAUUCGUUAGUAUAAUAAUGCAAAUCACUACUUUAAGUACUAUUGCAAACCAAUUCAUAUUUUGUUUUUGCAUUGUAGAUACCUUAAUAUAAAUUUUCCAUGGCUUAUACCACUGCUAAAAAUCGGUAGUUUCAUCAAAACAAGCAAAACAAUGCAUUAAAAAUAGAAUUUGUCUUAAACAGGACAGCCUGUAGUAAUCUGAACUCCAACCAUACUUAUGGUACUCCAAAAAUUCUGAAAAAUUAGGAUAGAAUAAACAAUUUGUAUAGAAGUACUGUGCAAAAAGUUUCAGAAGCUUUUAAGGUUCCAGUAAAAAAAAUGUAAAAUCACGCACUACGGCCAAAGUUUCUGUUCCUGCACCGCACAUACCAACAAGCAAUCUAAUCAUCAUAAAGGAAAAUCUUGGCACAUUAUUUUUAUAAUACAAUGGAUUUGUACAAGGGGAUAAUUAUUUUUGUAAGAAACUUCCAUAAAAAAUUCUACAUUGAGCAUGAACACAAUUGUUCAAGGUCGACCCUCACUUCUCCAAUGCAUAACUUCCAAUUGCUUCUCUCUUUGAAAAAGUUUUAAGUUCCCCUCUAUAUUUGUUUUUUUAAACUUUAUAAAAGCACUCAACAGAAAUAAAUGACUCUCUAAAACUUCCGGCCCGUCUUCCUGGUAGCGCUUUCUUUAAAGCCAUUAAGCUAGGCAUAAAGUGCUCAAGUAAUGAAUCCACCCGGAUCCCAAGGUAUAUCAAAGCCAACUUUAAUUAACAAUGAUUUGGCAUUUAGUAGUGAGCACAAAGCAACAUUUAUCAUGCAAUGACGAAGUCUAACUCUGUUCCUAUGCAUCAACAUGUCAUACAAGAACAAUUCAUGCACAUCAAGUAAAGGCCAAUACAUAGCAUAAGCAGUUUCUUGCAAUUUUAUCGUGUUGGAAACAUAGAGAGGCGGAUAUAUAUCUCCUCUCUCAUAAUAAUUGCAAGUAGGAUCAGCAAGCACAUGCAUAUUAUAUUCAUCAAAAUCAUCAUGUGUAGUAGUAAAACGCAACCCAUCAAUGUAAUCCUUAAUAAGUGCAAACUUCUCAAAUAUAGUGUAGUUGGGAGAAUUUAAAAAGAUAAUAGGACUAUCAUGUGUGGGUGCAAUAGCAACAAUUUCAUUCUUAACAUAAAGAACUCUAGCAAGUUCAUCUCCAUAAGCAUCAUUCAUAUUGGCAUCAUGGCCACAAGCAUAGCAAGCAUCAAUUUCAUCAAAAAGGGAUAUUUCAAAUGAAUCAACGGGAUCAUAGCAAUUAUCAUAGCAUUCAUCCUUCGGUAAGCACGGAGGGACAUUAAACAAUGUAUGAGUUGAAGAGUUACUCUCAUUAGAUGGUGGGAACGGGUGAUCAAUCCGCUCUUCCUCCAUUUGUUCUUCGCUCUCCUCCUCAUCUUUUUUCAUCCAAUGAGUGACAAUUUCAUCAAUUCCUUCUUCCGUAGACUCUUGCAAAAUAUUAGUCUCUUCUUGGAUAGCAGAGACUUUAUCAAUAAACACAUCAAUAUCGACAUUGUAUUUGUAAUUUUCAUAGCAAUAUUGAAGGAUGACAAAAUUUCCAGGUCUAUAAACAGAAUCAUCAUAAUCUUCAAACAGAGAUUCAAUUUCAUAAGCACCCUUAAAAGCAAAAAAUUCUUAUAUUCGUUCCACAUCAUAGUAAUCAUAUCUACCAUUAGCAUAAGAAGCUAAGGUUUCAUUAUAAAAAAAUUUGCAUGAAAAGGGAAGGUGUGGAGCAUUCAUCCUAGAGCAACAAGUGUAAUCAUAUCUCAAGCAUAGCUCCCUAGCAUGCCAAUGCAACAUAUGAAUUUGAUCCCAUAAUAAUUUCCCCUUUUGUGUCAAGCGAUAAUCCCUAAAGUAUUCAUGUUGAUCCAACAUGUGUCCCAUUAUCAAGUUGAAUGGGGUUUUCUCAGGAUUAUCAAAGUAGUGUUUAAUAUUUCUCACAUAACGAGCAUCGAGGGAUUUAGGAGAUCCCCCAUCUCCAUGAGUAGCAAGUACAACUAAUUUGGCAUUUCAUGUUCCAUAUCCAUAACUAAAGAUAGAGAACAACUUAGAACAAGAAAUAAAAACUACUUAGUGAUAAAGCAAACAAGCACACACGAGAAUAUUCACCCCACGCUAUUGCUCCCCGGCAACAUCGCCAGAAAAAGGUCUUGAUAACCCACAUGUAUAGGGGAUCGUUUGUAGCCUUCUUCGAUAAAUAAGAGUGUCGAACCCAACGAGGAGCUAAAGGUAGAACAAAUAUUCCCUCAAGUUCUAUCGACCACCGAUACAACUCUAUGCACACUUAACGUUUGCUUUACCUAAAACAAGUAUGAAACUAUUUUGCAAGAAUAAAACUACGAGUAAUUUGCGAGAAUAAAACUAUGAAUAAAUUGCAAGGUAAUAAAAGUGGAUAGCUUUUGUCAACAAGAAAGUCAUUUGUCCCUAGGCAAUCGAUAACUCGACCGGUAAUCAUUCUUGCAAUUUUAAAUGAGGGAGAGGCAUGAGCUAACAUACUUUAUCUACUUGGAUCAUAUGCACUUAUGAUGGACCCCUAGCAAGCAUCCACAACUGCUAAAGAUCCUUAAGGUCGUGAAACCCACCCAUAGCAUUAAGCAUCAAGUCCUCUUUACUCCCAUAAGCAACAACCCACUUACUCGGGUAUGUGCUUCUGUCACUCACGCCACCCACCAUAAGUGAAUCAUGAACAUAUCGCAACACCCAACAGCGGGGACCCCUACAUUUGUGCGACACGGAGGGCACCGUAGGAUAGCACCAUAAAUAAAAUAUACAAUCAUACCAACCAAGAUCAUGAUAGCCCACAUGACAAAACGGAUCUACUCAAACACCAUAGGAUAACCAUAGAUCAUUGGGAAAUAAUAUAUGGAGUUGAGCACCAUGUUUAAGUAGAGAUUAUAGCAGGGAGAAGGGAGGUUACACCGUUGCAUAGAGGGGGAGAGAGUUGGUGUUGACAGUAGCAAGAUUGAUGUAGAUUGCCGUCACUAUCCUUGCCCCGGCAGCACUCCGACGCCACCGGGAGAGAGGGGGACAUAGCCCCCCUUCUUCUUCUUCCUUGCCCCCUAGAUGGGAGGAGAGUUCCCCCUCUGGUCCAUGGCCUCCAUGGCAAUGGAGGGACAGGAGCCCCACUAAGAUUGGAUCUCCCUCUCUAUUCUCUUCUGUUUCACGUUCCUAGAUCUGGCCCUUCACCGUUUCUUAAAUUCUCGGAGAUCCAUAACUCUAAUUGCGCUGAAAUUUUUACAUGAUUUUUUCCAUAAAUUAUCUUUCUUGUGCCAGAAGAAGGGCCCCAACUGCCUUAUGGGGAGGGCAGAAGACACCUGGGCGCGCUAGCGGUUGCCCGACGUGCCCUUUUGGGUUGUGGAGGCCGUGGGCCUCCAUUAGCGUUGAUUCCACCUCCCAAAAAUCACAUAAAUUCUAAAAUAAUUCUUUGUAAAUUUUCAUCGUGUUUGGACUUUGUUUGAUAUGGAUUUUCUACGAAACAAAAAACAUGCAACAAACAGGAACUAGCACUAGGCACUGUAUCAAUAGGUUAGUCCAAUAAAUCAUAUACAAGAUUACCAAAAAUAUGUGGAAGUUGUAUAAUAUUGGCAUGAAACAAUAAAAAAUAAUAGAUACAACGGAGUCGUAUCAGCUACUUGUGAGCUGCGUUGGGAUUUCCUCAAAGAGGAGAGGAAAUGCAGUACAGUAGAGAUAAGUAUUUUCCUCAGUUAAGAACUGAGGUUAUCAAUCGAGUAGGAGAAUCACACAAAGCCUCGUGAACAACACCCGCACACACAAGUGCAAAUACUUGCACCCAACCCAAACAAGAGGGUUGUCAAUCCCCUUGGCGAUUAUUUGCAAGGAUUAAAUCUUGUAGUGGAAGAGAGAUAAAUUGCAAAGAUAAAAUAAAAUAAAAUAGAAAAUUGCAGCAAAUAUAUUUUUGCGUUAUAUAUAUAGGAUCCCUAUAUAGGACAAAUGUUUCCUACAAGCAGUGGUAGUUACCACCACUUGCGAUUUGUAUGUUGAAUGUAGUAUCUGUCGAAACUGAGAGUAUGUACGUGUAGUAUGUAGUAUAUAACAAUGAUUAGGUAGUAUAUAUACAAAUUUUUAAGUAGUAUGUACCAUUUUUUGAGUAUGCUUUUUUUACGUACAAAUAUGUACGUAUUUCAUAAAUAUAACAAAAACUAUGGGCUCAUAUGCAAUUUUUUCAUGUAACUUGUUUUGAAAUAUCUUAGAUAUAGUAUACGAACAUAUUUAAAAUAAUAAAAUAGUAUAUAUAGUAUCACAUGCUAGUAUAUGAUACAUGUGGGGUAACUACCACCAGGUGGUAGGAUGGAUUUUCCCUAUAUAUAUAUAUAUAUAUAUAUAUAUAUAUAUAUAUAUAUAUAUGAACACUAUUCUGAUCACUGGAUGAGAAUAAUAUUCUCAUCACAACCUGACCUGCCCCGCUAGUAAUACGUUGAACUUCCCUGUGAACUAGGUUGAACUUCCGCCAACAUUGCCCAAAUGGGGCUUGUGAUAUACCGUUGGAAAGCUAUGGACACCAGUAUCAUGACCCAACUUAAAUUUUUGGCAAAAUGUAAGCAGUUUAAGAGCAGUUUUGAAAACCGUUUUUUCUUCACACAAAAAACGUGAAUCGUAUUUUCGAUCGCAUUUGUAAACCAUUUAUCGGAAUGAGACAUAUAAUAUGGCGUUGGAAAGCUGCUGCAAAACCGCUACUUCCACAUGUUGAAAGUUUUCUCUAAUUCUCUAUGGUCAAAGAGUAAUUUGAAAAACGUAAAAUUUCACAAACCGAACAGCCGAGUUCGUAUUUUCAACGUCAUUUCUAAACGGCUAAUCCAAUUGAGGCAUAUGAUACGGAGUUGGAAAGCUUAUGAAAAUGCAAUACUCUUUCAUCUGGAAAGUGUUUUUCUAAUUUUGAACAGUUUAAGAGUAAUUUAGAAAACGGUUCAAGUCCUACUGAGUUUGUAUUUUCGAGCUAAUUUUUUAACCGUGCGCCCGAAUGCAGCAAAUGAUAUGGCGUUGGAAAGCUUGAGCAAAUGUGAAACUUGUUGGUAUUUAUUCUUUCUCCUAAUUCUUUACGGUUUUAAGUCAGUUUUGAAAAUGGCGAAAAAGGCAUUUUUGCUGUAUUUUGUACAAACUUUAUCGGAAUGGUGCAAAUAAUAUACCGUUGAAAAGCUAUGGAAAGUGCAAAACUUUUUCAUGUUGACAGUUUUCUCUGAUUUCCAACCGUUUUCUAGUAAUUUCAAAAACGGCGAGAUCAUUCGUUCUGUCAUUAUCGCGAAACAGAAUCGUCAAAAAUGCAUCGAGUGAAGUACCUGAACUUCUCGGUAUGAAACCUUGAACUUCACUCUGUUUUUCACGUGCUUUUUCCCCUCGUAUAUCUCUAUCCGCUGCUCCUAGCUCUACAUCCAGUCACCGGAAUUGAGCAAGUGAUAUACCGAUGGAAAGCUGCUGUAAAGCCGCAACUUUCCCGUGUUGAUCAUUUUUUCAUACUCGCAACGAUUUUAAAAGUUUUUCAUCUGAAAUUUAUUCAGCGUAGUAGUUGAACUUAAUGAUAUUUUCACGUUGAACUUCUGUGACGUAUUUUUGUUUGUACACGCGCCUGAACUUCCCUCUGUACGAACCCGACCUUCGGGCUAUCUUUGCAGCCGUGGCUUCCCCUGCGAAUUAUUCUGGUUAGGAGUGUUCUGUAUGAUGUUAGUGUAAUCUAGAUAGGUUUUUUAGCAACUAAAUACCGGUUUUAAAUAGAAAUCUUGCUCGCUGGCGGAUUUUUCUCUCGGGUCGUGAUGAAAUUGUGUUUUUUUUGCAAUUUUACUGUCUGAUUUGUUCGACCUGAACUUCCCCUAGUGCUAGGUUGAACUUCCGUCAAUAUUGCCCAAAUGAGGCUUGCGAUAUAUAGUUGGAAAGCUAUGGACACCAGUACUAUGACCCAACUUAAAAUUUUGGCAAAAUGGAAGUGGUUUAAGAGCAGUUUUGAAAACCAUUUUUUCUUCAUACAAAAAACGUGAAUCGUAUUUUUUAUAGCAUUUCUAAACCGUUUAUCGGAAUGAGGCAAAUAAUAUGGCGUUGGAAAGCUGCUGUAAAACCGCUCCUUCCACAUGCUGAAAGUUUUUUCUAAUUCCCUAUGGUUAAAGAGUAAUGUGGAAAAUCGUAACAUUUCGCAAACCGAUCAACCGAGUUCAUAUUUUCAUUUCCAUUAACGCCUAAUCCAAUUGAGACAAAUGAUAUCGCGUUGGAAAGAUUAUGAAAAUGCGCUUUUUUUCUCGUGUUGAAUUUUUUUUCUAAUUUUGAAUGGUUUAAGAGUAAUUUAGAAAACGGUACAAGUUCUACCAAGUUUGUAUUUUCGAUAUAUUUUUUUAAUCAUACAUCCGUACAUAGGAAAUGAUAUGAUGUUGGAAAGCCUGAAAAAAUGCAAAACUUUUUGGUAUAUAUUGUUUCUCCAAAUUCAUUACGGUUUUAUGUUGAUUUUGAAAAUGGCUAAAAACAUAUUUUCGCCGUAAUUUCUACAAACUUCAUCGGAACGCGGCAAAUAAUAUACUGUUGAAAAGCUACUAAAAAUGCGAAACUUUUUCAUGUUGAUGGUUUUCUCUGAAUCCCAGCCAUUUUCAAGUAAUUUCAGAAACGGCGAGAUCGCUCGUUCUGCCUUUAUCGCGAAACAGAUUCGUCGAAAAUGCAUCGCGUGAAGUACUUGAACUUCUGUGGCAGUUCUACCUGAACUUCACUCUGUUUUUCAUGUGCUUUUUUGCUCAUAGCUCUUCAUUCACUCACUGUAAUUAAGCAAGUGAUAUACCGAUGGAAAGCUGCUAUAAACACGCAACUUUUCCGUGUUGAUUAUUUUUUCAUACUCGCGACGGUUUUAAAAGUUUUUCUUGUGAAAUUCAUUCAGUGUAGUAGUUUAACUUCCUGCCGUUUUCACGUUGGACUUCUGUGACAUAUUUUUUGUUUGUAAUUUCCCCAUCCAUUUUCGUCAGUGUUACACAAAUGAUAUUCUUUUUGUAUAAACCUCUCUCACAAUAUUUUUUAAAAUUUCUCCGACCGAGGACUUGACCUUACACAAAUUAUAUUCCUGUUAUUUUGAAGUAAAUUAGAAAAUGACAAGAUCAUGAUUUCUGCCUUCAUCGUGAAUGGAAAUGCACUGCGUGAAGUAGUUGAACUUCUCGGGCAUGUCUGUUUGAACUUCACUCUAGUUUUUGACGUGCUAUUUUUUGCACUGCGUGUAGUAGUGGAACUUCUUGGGCAUGUCUGUUUGAACUUCACUCGGUUUCACUUAUUUGUAUUUUUUAUAUGAAAUACACACCAUGUAGUACGUGAACUUCCGGUCGUUAUCACUUUUGAACUUCUCUCCGGUUUGAGAGAAUUAUUUUAAAACACAAAAAAACAUAUUUUUAAUGUAUUUUGGACAUCUAAAUACACGGUGAACCUCUCUCACAAGAAUUUUUGAACUAUCCCUCGCUGAGCACUUGAAUUUCUCCUUUUUUUGUUUUCUUUCAACAUUGGGUUACACGUCGAACCACUUCAUCUUUAGAAAUUGAAUCUCUCAUUUUCUUUUUAUUUUCUUUCAACAUUGGUUUACACGUUGAACCACAUCAUCUUUAGAAAUUGAAUUUAUCCCUUUUUGUUUUCUUGCAUGUUUUACCUUGCAUGUUUAAAUUUAUUUUGAACUUGCUGAGAUAACACACUGGACCUUCUCGAACACAACAUUUUGACCUUCGCAAAACAUAAAUUAAAGCCAAACUUUUGACCUACAGAGCAUGUAUAAAUUUCUCCACUUUUUCAAGAAUAAGCGCUGAAUCACCCCGUUAGUUUGACUUGGACUUCUGCUGCACAUGAAUAAGCUGUUGAAAACACGCAACUUUCCUGCUCCGUUAUUUAAAUUUGAACUUCUAGUUUUUUAAGAAAUGGGAUUUUUUUAAAAACUUUUUUACUUGUUACUUUUAUUCUAAUUUGAACUUCUAGAUUUUUAUAACAGGAGAUCAUAAUUUCUGCCUUCAUCACGAAUGGAAAUGCACUGCAUGAAUUAGUUAAACUUCUCGGGCAUGUCUGUUUGAAUUUCACUCUUUUUUUGAUGUGUUGUUUUUAGCCCGUAACUCCCAAAUCACUUAUCGAAAUUGAGCAAAUGAUAUACAGAUGGGAAGCUUUUGAAAAUAGGCAACUUUUUCGUGUUGAUCAGCUUUUCAUACUCGCGACUAUUUAAUUUUUAUUUUAAUGCAUAAAAAAUGUGUUUUUAACGAUAUACAUAAAACUUUUAAACCAUUCAUCGGAAUAUAGCAUAUAAUAUACCACCGAAAAGCUUGUGAAUAGGAGCACCUGUUUCAUGUAGAUAGAUGUUACAACUUUUUGUCAUUUGAGAGCAGUUUUAAAAAUGGAAAAACAACAUCGUUUCCCCCCUGUUUUUUACAUGCAUUUGAAGGUCGGACGUCUCACACUGGAGAUCUUGAACUUCACCGAGAGGAGCACAUGAACUUCUUGCAGCAAACCUUUAUAAGCUUUUUGUUUUCUAUUCUUAUAUUCCUAUCCGAAACACAUUUCGUGUAGUAGUUGAACUUCCCGCUGUUCUCACCUUGAACGUCUGUCACGUAUUUUUGUUCAACCCCUCUCACAAGAAUUUUUUAACUUUCUCGGGUCAAGCACUUGAACUUUUAGCAAAAAACUUUUUAUCCUUUGGUUUCAUUCUUUUUUUCAUAAAAAUGCACACCGUGUAGUACGUGAACUUCUGGCAGUUAUCAAUCUGAAUUUCUCUUGGUUACGUGAGAAUAUCUAAGUUUUAUAGACAUUGAACCACUCUACCUUUUUUUGUUUGAACUUCAUUGUGUAUUUUUAGAAAUAUGAAAAUUGGAUUUUUUUUAGAAACAUCGAACUUCUUCGCUAUUUCGAAUUGAACUUAUUUGUUUUAUUCUUUGAUAAAUAUCAAAGUGCUCCGCUUUUACAAAUUGAACUUCUUGGUUUUAUUCUGUAUUAGCGAGAGAACCUGAGUUUAUUAUUUACAUUGAGCUACUCCGUUUUUUAAAUUGAACUUCUUGGUUUUAAUCUUUAGCGUGAAAAGUUGCAUUUUUUAGUGAACUUUCCUGUCAUUUUUUUCUAUCUUUUUAAUACAAAUUGGACUGUGCAAUUUUCGCAUGGUGAACUUCUAUCUUUUCAAUAAACACAAUGAAUUGCUACACACAACAAUUUUAUCUAAAUAUCCAACAGUUGCUCCAAGUCAGUUUUUUUGGGCUCAGACACCAACAUCUUUGCACACACAUGUACGACUGAACUUGAGACAAGAAGCUAUUUAGAAACACUACAUAAGUGGACAUAGUACAGCAGAACGAAAAUGAGAUUUUUGCUACCGCAACAAAUUCAAAGCAAGUGCACACACCAACGCCAGCACACACACACACACACACACUAGUGCAUGAACAGACGCAUUAGAACAUACCCUAUGCCUUUUUCUCGGGGGGCACUCGCAAGGCGUUGGUGGACUAGCCGCGGAGGUCGCGAGGACAUAGGGCAGUUGCAGCGGCGGGAUGCAGAGCUCCGGGGAGACACGCUGGGUCGCGGGUCGCGACGGCGCCCCAUCCAAAAAUUGAGAUCACACACCACGCAAUGCUUUGACUCCAUGGACAAGAUGCUAGAAGCAAUUAGUGCAAGCGAUUAAGGACUAUGAUGAUCGCUCUUGUACACAAAGAAGAAUCUGGUCUAAAAUAUAAGAAAACAAUUCUCACACAACUUGAACUUGCCGUAUUCAGUUAAAUGUAUCUGUCACAGCAGAGAGCCUCUCCUAAUGUAGAUCUUUGCGCACCUACUUUUCUCUUGAUAGUAGCAAUGCUGCAUAGUAUAAAUGUACUGAAAAGUUUUCUUCAGUGACUGGCCGUUGAGGAUUCCUAAGCCAAAUCAGGCUGAAUUUUACGAGCAACAUGUUGGAACGUGCUUGCUUGCUGGACCUAUGCACAAUAAUUUUUUUUCACUUGCUGGCUUUCACAGGGAAGGCGGGACUGCUACGGCGAGUAGCUAGCCGAUGGUGCGGUUCCACAUGCGCCGGGGGUACCGGCCACACGCCCACGUCAAGCCGCAACAGUUCAGCUCAUAACACCAACCAAGAAAAACAUCAAAAUUCAGCAAGCUGCAGCCAAAGCAGCAAAUUGCAGCAUUGCACUUAUGCCAUUCAGCCCGGAGUGGCUAGAGGUUCAAGGGAGAUAGACACUGCAGUUCGCCCAGCUGAUGCCUAUGUCGGAGGCAGCAGCACCAAUAAUACUGGGCGGCUCUUCACACCACAUUGUCAGUUUCUUCUGUAGGGCCGACGAGGGCUUCAACGUUGGUGGAGGAGUUGAUCCAGGGGCGGACAGUGGUGUUUUUGUGGCUGAAAUCUGUGAGCAUCGUCGUUGAACGGCUGGAGGUGGUGGUGGCGAAUGGCCGGAAGUGGCCGUGGCGAACGGCCUGAGCGCCGCGACGGUCGGUCCCCAUGGGGAGUAGGCCGCGUUACUGGGGCAACGGGGUUGCCCGUCUUGAGCCGGGGACCCUGGGGGCGGCGGGCGGGAUCCAGAGCAAGGCCGCGGCACGCGGGGUCGACGACCAGGAGGCAGCAUGCGACGCCCAUGUCCAGGCGGCGGCGCGCAAGUUCCACGACCGGCGGCCGUGCGUGGGAAGCUAGGGGUAGUGGUACGGCGGUGCAGUGCGCGGGGCCUGUCGGCGGUGCGGCGCGCAUGGCUGGUAGGAGGAGGCGCGCAGGGCGGCGAGAUCCAAGGAGGAUGGCGGCGCUCGAGGGAGGGGAUCGAGGGAGGAAAGGGAGGGGAUCAAGGGAGGAAAGGGUGGGGAUCGGGGCAGCCGGUGGGGUGGGGUUGUUUUUUUCUUCAAUCGGUCCGGCGGGGUCUUCGGGAGUUCGGGAGCACAGCGCCGCGCCUAUAUAGGGACGAUUGUGAUCCAAAUAGUUAUUCUAAUUCCAGGAUUAGAAUAGUGUCACUCUCUCUCUCUCUCUCUCUAUAUAUAUAUAUAUAUACAUAAACACUAUUCUGAUCACGGGAUCAGAAUAAUAUUCUGAUCACAACCUGACCUGCCCCGCUAGUAGUACGUUGAACUUCCCUGUGAACUAGGUUGAACUUCUGCCAAUAUUGCCCAAAUGAGGCUUGCGAUAUACCGUUGGAAAGCUAUGGACACCAAUAUGAUGAUCCAACUUAAAUUUUUGGCAAAAUAUAAGCAGUUUAAGAGCACUUUCGAAAACCGUUUUUUCUUCGCAUAAAAAACGUGAAUCGUAUUUUCGAUCGCAUUUCUAAACCGUUUAUCGGAACGAGGCAUAUAAUAUGGCGUUGGAAAGCUGCUGCAAAACCGCUCCUUCCACAUGUUGAAAGUUUUUUCUAAUUCCCUAUGGUUAAAGAGUUAUUUGAAAAAAACGUAAAAUUUCAUAAACCGAACAGCUGAGUUCGUUUUUUCGAUGUCAUUUCUGAACGGCUAAUCCAAUGGAGGCAUAUGAUACGGCGUUGGAAAGCUUAUGAAAAUGCGCUACUUUUUCAUCGUGAAAGUUUUUUUCUAAUUUUGAAUGGUUUAGGAGUAAUUUAGAAAAUGGUCCAAGUCCUAUCGAGUUCGUAUUUUCGAGCUAAUUUUUUAAUCAUGUGUCCAAAUGCAGCAAAUGAUAUGGCGUUGGAAAGCUUGAACAAAUGCAAAACGUUUUGGUAUGUAUUGUUUCUCCCAAUUCUUUACGGUUUUAAGUCAGUUUCGAAAAUGGAGACAAAAGUAUUUUCGCCGUAAUUUCUACAAACUUUAUCGGAAUGGGGCAAAUAAUAUAUCGUUGAAAAGCUACGGAAAAUGCGAAACUUUUUCAUGUUGACGGUUUUCUCUGAUUCCUAGCCGUUUUCAAGUAAUUUCGAAAACGGCGGGAUCAUGCGUUCAACCUUCUAUCGCGAAACAGAUUCUUCCAAAAUGCACCGCGUGAAGAACCUGAACUUCUCGGCGUGUGUACCUGAACUUCACUCUGUUUUUCACAUGAAAUUUUUGCUCGUAGGUCUCCAUCCACUGCUCGUAACUCUCCAUCCACUCACCGGAAUUGAGCAAGUGAUAUACCAGUGGAAAGCUGUUGUGAAGACGCAACUUUCCCGUGUUGAUCGUUUUUUCAUACCCGCAACGAUUUUAACAGUUUUUUCAUCUUAAAUUCAUCCACUGUAGUAGUUGAACUUCCUGUUGUUUUCAGUUGAACUUCUGUGACGUAUUUUCGUUUGGAAUUUUCUCAUCCAUUCGUCAGUGUUACACAAAUGAUAUUCCUUUUGUACAAAUCUCUCUCGCAAUAUUUUUUUUACUUUCUCUGACGAAGGACUUGAACUUAUAACAACAAAACUUUUAACCUUUGCUUUAUUAUUAUUAUUUUAAUACAAAAUGCACACCAUGUAGUACAUGAAUUUCUCGCAGUUAUCAACCUGAUCUUCUCUCGUUUACGUGAAAAUAAUUGAACUUUUUUAUGAACUUUUAAUCUGAUUUUCUUAAUCUUUUUUUAUGAAUUUUGAAACGCUCUCUUUUUAAAUGUUGAACUUCUUAUUAUUUUAUUUUUGAACUUCUUGUUUCCAUUCUUUAAUAACGAGGAAAAUCUGAGUUUUCUAUAAUCAUCGAACUUCUCCAUCUUUUUAAUAUGGACUUCCUAGUUUUAUUUCUUAAUCCUUUUUUAUGAAAUUUUGAAACGUUCAAUUUUUAAAAGUUGAACUUCUUGGUUUUUUAUUUUUGAACUUCUUGUUUCCAUUCUUUAAUAACAAAGAAAAUCUGAGUUUUCUAUAAUCAUCGAACUUCUAUAUCGAACCGAUCUAAGUUUUGUAUUUGAAUUUAUUUUAUGUAUUUUUAGAAAUGUGAAAAUUGAAAUUUUCUUAGAAACAUCAAACUUCUUUGUUUUUUGAAUUGAACUUAUUUGUUUUAUUCUUUAGUAACAAAAAAAAUCAAGUUUUUAAUUAAAUAUCAAACUUCUCCACGUUUUUAAAUUGAAGUUCUUGGUUUUAUUCUUGAGUAACGAGAAAAACUAAGUUUUUAAUGUACAUUGAAUUCCUCGGUUUUUUAAAAAUUGAACUUCUUGGUUUAAUCUUUAGUAUCGGGGAAAAUCCGAAUUUAAAAAAAGGGAAAAAUCUUAUUAAAUUUUUCAUUCCCUUAUUUUAAUUUAAACUUAUUAGUUAUUCUUUAUAACGAGAAUCUGAGGUUUUUAUCAACUUUGAACUUCUGUGUUAUUUUAAUUUGAAUUGCUUAGUUUUAUUUUUUAGAAAUGAGAAAAUCGAGUUUUUUGAAGUUCCUCAUUUUAAAAUUUUGAACUUCCUAAUUUUAUUUUUUUUAUAAUGUGAAAAAUCUGGAUUUUUUGUAGACAUCGAACUUCACCAUUUUUUAAACUUGAGCUUCUUAGUUUUAUUUCUUAGUAACGGGGAAAAUCCUUUUUUUAUAUAAACCACACCGUUAUUUUAAUUUGAACCUCUAGUUUUUAUAGAAUGGGGGAAAUCUGUUUUUAUAAAAUCUUUUUGAGAUGCUCCUCUUUUUUAAUAUUGGACUUCUCUGGUUUUUUUAUAAACAAGGAAAAUUCGUUAUAAAGAUUUUUGAAGUACUUUUUUUUAUUUGAACUUCUUGCUCAAAUUUGUGGUCUUCCAAUUUGACUUUUAAAUAUUAAAAAGUUUAUUUUUUAACGUCGACCUACUUCGGUUUUUAAAUUUGAACUUCUUAUAGAAUUUUGUCGUGACAUUUUUAUGCAUUUUUUGCUUUUCAGUGAAAUGGCCUCGACGGUCUCUUUGGUCCCUUUUUUUCAUUUGAUAGUUUUUCUUCUGUAUGUGCUACGCGUGAACUUCAGAAUUUCUGAAAGAUGAACUUCAUGUGCUAUUUUUUUUAUGAAACUCCAUAGUUUUUAUUCUUUGAAUUCCAUGAUUUUUUUGUUUACAUUUUUCUGGUUUGAAUUUUGAUGUUUGUUAGACCUGAACUUUCGAAAUCACCCCCUUUUUAUACACAUUUUUUCUCUUGAAUCCAAGGUCUGCAAAAACAAUACGAAAAUUGGGGUCAAUUCUCAUAAUCAAGUUUUAACAUGCUCAAAGCUAGGGUUUCAGCAAUGGGCAAACAGAUAUCUUUUUUCAAACCCAAGACAUUGGUUUCAAUUGCUAACAGUUUUAAGAAAGCAAAACAAUUGCCAAAAGCCCAAAACUGUUCUCAGUGGCCAAAAACCAACCACCUGGACGUUCUCUGUUCUUUCUUCAAAGGAUGAUGCUGUAAUGAAUUUUUUGUGCCUCCUUUUUUGCUCCAACUUCUUUAGUUGACCUGCCACGAGCUUUGUGUUUGACCUACUGAUGAGUGCAAUCCGGGAGGAGCAGACCAUCGCGGCUGCCGGUGACGCACGGGGUAGUCAGGAGGUAUUGCAGUAGUGGUGGGGGAAGCCGGUCAAAGGAGGAUCCGCCACGGAGUAGAGAAGUGGGGAGUGACCUGUCAGUGAGGAGGAUCUUGAUUUAUUAGUAAAUUAGUGACAAUAUAUCCAGGCGAGUGGCAAUGCUGAGAAGGAUCCACAAAGCUAGCUACUCUGAUAUACUUACUACACAAGUUGUUAUAACAGCCUGACGCUGCAUCUGAAACAAGAUAGUUAUUGUUGUGAGUGAACGUGUAGUGAGUGAAAUUUGCAUGCCAGAAACCAACCCAAACUAAUCAAAACCUCCAUGACGAAUUCAGGGGACACCAAUGCACGCACGAUUGUGGCUUCCAUGUGGCUUCUCAGGCACUAUAGAGUUGAGGGUGCACGUUCGCUCGGGGAACAACCUGGACUUCUGCACUUUCGAAGAACAGAAAAAUAUACAGGAGAUUCAGUCGCAAGCUCCUCAAAAUUGUAAAAGUCCACACAUCAUAGUAGUGAUUAGAGAAUAAAAAAGGUUCACAGAGAGGAUACCGGGGAGGCGCGGUCGUGUCAGCAGUAGGCCGUGGCGGUGUGUGUUGAUGACAGCCGGACCAAAAGCGGUUGUGGUUUAGCGGCUGGAUAGGUCCUUGCAUGGUCCCUUGCAAGUAACAAAACAGCCUGCAUGGCCCCUUGCCACCAGAGAAAACUUCUUGUUGCUACUGCCAAAGCAAUUGUUAUGAAAAACAAAGCAUUUCAAAAAAAUUUACCAAAGCUACAGAAGUGACAAAAUUACUUCAAAAACUAUUACAACUGUAUGAAUAAAGCUUCGUGUCAAAUGUAUUUUCUUAAAAGCUUGAGCUACUAGAACCCGUGGAUGAGGUUUUGGUGUCUUCCUACUUAUUCUGGAUUCAUUUUUGAUGCUAGUUACGACACUCAUUUUAUGUAUCUUUUACAAAUGGUGCAAGUGUUCAGGUGAGAGGAGCCAAGGUCAGAACCACUCUGAAGCCUGAACUAAGUAUGUGCGUAGACAAAAUGCAAAAAGGAAGAAAGCAACUUCCCUGAAUGUACUAAAAAAGCAAUCUCUAAAAUUUAAUGCCCAGCCACUUCGAAUUGCAGCACUCUUGGCACCACGCCCAGCACACCGGAGAGACGCACGCCAACCCCAGCCGUCGUCGGCCAUCGUAUGCCUGUUGGGUCGAUGUUGCUGCAUGGAACGCUCCAUUUUGUAGCUUGAACUGCUGAAAAGAAGCACCAUCAGCUAGCUACAACGAAGGUGAAGAAGUAGCAGCAGAGGCUGUUCGGGAAGUGCUGUACUGACAAAGAAAUUGAUACGCCAGCCUAAGAAACUUAACUCAAGUUUGUACAUCCUGGUUUUUUUUCAAAGCCUCCUUGUUUGUAAGGUGUAGCUAUGAUCCAGGGAGAUGCAUCAUCAUAUGAAAAAUGUAAGAGAACUCAAUACAUGGAAAUAAAAAUUGAAGUAUCUGCAGGGAGAACUCAACUUGAACUGGCAAUACAACCAAACGUCUCCUUCAUUUCAAAUAAUUUCACACGAAUGCAGAGUAUACCGGUCAAAAUGUGUUUAUUUUAGUAUAUACUGAAACUAUAAGCUUCAGCUGAUUGGAUGUUGGUCUCAGAUUUAUGAAGCUAAGAAAUGAAAAACAGGGAAAAAACAGUCGGAAUGUACAUAAAAAAUACUGUACAUCUCUGAACCUUAAGCCACAUUCACUCUGAAGUUCAUCAGUACCCUGCAAAAUUGGAUGAGUUGGUUUCUCAUCGUGGCACCGCCAGAAGCCGAGGCGCACACGUAUGGAAUGGGCGAAGACACGCCUGCAGUUCUACUACUCCAUGUGAUAGAGUUCAAUCAUCCAAGAGGGGAGUUGGAAGCAACAGGAGGAGGAAGAUCAGUACGCGUUUGGAGAGAAGGUCACCUGUGGACAUGAACAUGGCAAGUGGGCGACGGGGAGAGGUGGUGUGCUGCAGAGGAUGGAGCCAAGCGGAGGCAGGGGUUCGGCCGCGGGGCGGCAUCUCUGUCGCUGCUCCUAGUCUCCACCAAGCAAGCAUGCUAGGGCGACGGGGGUGGCCGUGUGGCCUGAUUGGCGCGCACGACAGAAGCCGUCGGGGCUCCAGGAGAAGGACGGCGACGGGGCCGCCGGAGGAGGCCGAUGGGGCAGCGCCGUGAAGCCGGGAGGUGGAGGCGCGUGGCGACCCGGCCUGGAGGUGGAGUCGCGACAACGCGUCUGCCGGGGAGGAAGUUGGGGCUGGCGGUGCGUCUGGCGGGGAGGGAGAUGGGGGCGGCAGUGCUUCUGCCGGUGGAUGGAGGUGUGGGCGAUGACGCCUACUGCCGGGGGAGGGAGGUAGCGGCUGCGGCGCCUGCUGCCCGGGGAGGGAGGUGGUGGUGGCAUGGGUGUCGGGUUAGAACGGCGUGGGGAUAAGGUUGGGAGAGNNNNNNNNNNNNNNNNNNNNNNNNNNNNNNNNNNNNNNNNNNNNNNNNNNNNNNNNNNNNNNNNNNNNNNNNNNNNNNNNNNNNNNNNNNNNNNNNNNNNNNNNNNNNNNNNNNNNNNNNNNNNNNNNNNNNNNNNNNNNNNNNNNNNNNNNNNNNNNNNNNNNNNNNNNNNNNNNNNNNNNNNNNNNNNNNNNNNNNNNNNNNNNNNNNNNNNNNNNNNNNNNNNNNNNNNNNNNNNNNNNNNNNNNNNNNNNNNNNNNNNNNNNNNNNNNNNNNNNNNNNNNNNNNNNNNNNNNNNNNNNNNNNNNNNNNNNNNNNNNNNNNNNNNNNNNNNNNNNNNNNNNGGCGCGUCGUGGCUGGGGGGUUGGUGGCGGCGGCGCCGCCGGUUGGGGACGGGGUGGCGGGCAUGUCGCCGUUGAGGGCAGGAGCUGCGGGAGAUGGGGCAUCUGUGGAUCAGGGGGAGUAGAGGUGGGGUGGGCUUUUUUCUUUUGUCUGUCACUGCCCGAUUUGGGAGUUCGGAGUUCGGGAGCACCCCAUCGGACCUAUAUAGGGUGUGACGUGAUCCAAAUAGUCAUUCUAAUCCUGGGAUUAGAAUAGUGCCACUCUAUAUAUAUGACAAAAGUAGACCCCAUGGACCAUAAUUUUCACUAGAGGCUUCUCUCUCGAACACAUAGCAUACGGUGGGUAAACAAAUUACUCCCCCCUCCCAUAAUUUUCAAAAGCGCAUAGUUGUGACGAUAUUCAAGGCGAUGGUCAUGUAUAUAGGCAUCACGGUCAUCAGGUCAGAGGUGAUGACGACUCCCCCCUCCCACCUCUCCCACCCCACCCAUGGCGACUCCCCCUCCCACCGACCUCCAAGAUCUUCCAUGGUGAUUGUUGAUCCAUUUGAGAUUUGAUGGCAAGUCUCAUCCAUUGGGAUUUUGCCCCUGGGCUCAAGGUGGAGCAGAAGUUACGUGCCAAGUUCAGAUCCACGGUGCGCUUUGAUAGUUCUUUGGGAACCAAGGAAUUUUUCUUGGUUGUCUCUUUCUCGUUGGCCUCCUUCCCUCUAUCCGAAGAGGCGGUAGGAGUGGUUUUGCAAUGUUGCAUUGGUGGUUUGGCCACGGGUUUCAACGUCAAACAAUUGGGAGAUCGUAAUUUUCGAUUUUCGAUGGCUUCCAAUUGUGUUGGUCACUUCAUCUACGGUUUGAAGGAUUGUGUGUGGCCAAAUUUUGUUUGUCAUUUCCGCUUGUUCAAAGUUUCGGUGGACUCUGCUUGGAAGGGAUCGGAUUAACAUCUUGAUGAGGUUAUCCCGGAGGUUUAUGCUUGAUCGCCUAUGGCUAUCAGAAGCUCUCUAGGGUUUCUUCAUAAGAGUGCUCAAGGAGAAACCUCAUCUAGUUCUGAGUUGGCUAAAUUUAAUUUUUCUCAUGCUGAAGACAAGAUUUCCACCGAUCUUAAUGGUCAGGUUUUGGAUAAUCAUCUGGAGUCUCAAGAUCAAUCUUUGAAUCCUAGUUUGGCCUCCAAUGUUCAAGCAAAUGAAUUGGUUUUUGGCAGUUUGCAUGCGCGUAUCUCUCAGCCGAAUCAUCAGGUUAUUGGCAAACGUGUCUAGGGAUCCGCUUUUUCAACUUUCUCAUGGAAUUUAAUUCCGGAUCCAAAGCUGGAGGAAGUGCGGGAUUUAUGGCAAGCUGGUUAUUCUAAUGAUAUCAUUCAAUCGGUACUUAACAUCUCUUCCCUGCCGACUAAAUCGUUCAUCUACAAUAAGCUUCUCAUUUGCAUGGUUUGUGAAGGACGAGGUCAUCAUUUUGAGGAUUGCGUUCAUAAGACUUUGGCAGCUAGUUUAACAUCUUCCACCAAUAAAAUUGUUGUGGCUUCUCAUAUGCAUAAUGUUUCAUGGUGCACCAAGUGCCGAUCCAAUAAAAAUUCUUUUUUAGAGUGCAAUUUUCGUAGUAGAAGUUGCAAUAUAUGUGGUGUGAGCGGUCAUGUUCAAUGGAAUUGUUAGGCACGAAGAGGAUUUACUUCGAAACAUGUUUCUUGGGUUAAGAAAGAUCGGGUCCGUUCUGUUAGGUCUCGGGUUUCCAUUGGCCAUCACAAAAUUUGGCGCAGAAAAUCUCGGAGUAUGGCUCAACAGAAAAGGGAUAAGAAGAAAAUAUGGAUUGUCAAAUGAAAUGGGAGGGAUCCGGUAAAAUCUUUUGUACCUUCUGCCAAAAAUACCCCGGAUGUUUCGCCUCCUUACCAACCUAUCACCACCCUCCAGAUUCCCGAGACGACGGUGCCUCCCCUGUUUCACCCGUCACCUUGCGCCCCUGUGCUCUCCUCCACCCCUCACCUCGAGCUCUCCUCCACUCCAAUCCGAGCGCCAAUGGCAAAGCUACCGGUGCUUCCCUACCAUUUUGUGCCGGGGAGAUGGAUAUCCAACAUGGUCCGAAGGGGAGGCUGCAAAGGAACAUGGUGAUCAUGGACGACCCUCCUCUGGAUCACUCAAAGCAUGCGCUUGUGAUGGUGGUGCCGCCCCCUGGAGAUCUGCAACGUGAAGAAGUUCUUGUUGAGGUCAGAAGGGUUCACUACAAAAAAGACACAUCCGUGACAUUUUGGGCCGAACAAUUUUUUUGUCAUACAUGUGACACUUCUAUGACGAUAAUUGUGACAAAACCCAGUAUCAUCAUAGAUGUGGUGGGCUCCUACUUCUAUGACAAAAAAUCAUGACAGAAAAUGGGCUUUUCAUCCUGGGCGGGCCGGAGACGCAGCUGCAUGACAUUCUUUGGGCCGUCCAUGACGGAAAAAACCGUGGUAGAAGCAAGGGGGAGGAAAAUUUCGGGGAGUUGCCGGUUACGGUGGGAGGUCGGGGGCCGAGCGAUGCGCGUUUCUCUCGUACACGUACGCACGUGUGUGCGAGGCGUUGGCCGUAACUGAACCCGAGCGAGGCGUUGGCUCUAACUGAACCCGAGCGAUUGCACUGCAGGCUACGCGUUACUGAAUCCGAGCGAUCGAUCGAUGGCUGUUAACUGAACCCGAUGGAGCGAUUCCUUCGCUACUGCUGCUAACUGAAGCCGAUUGAUUGGAUGAAUGGUGAGCGUUNNNNNNNNNNNNNNNNNNNNNNNNNNNNNNNNNNNNNNNNNNNNNNNNNNNNNNNNNNNNNNNNNNNNNNNNNNNNNNNNNNNNNNNNNNNNNNNNNNNNNNNNNNNNNNNNNNNNNNNNNNNNNNNNNNNNNNNNNNNNNNNNNNNNNNNNNNNNNNNNNNNNNNNNNNNNNNNNNNNNNNNNNNNNNNNNNNNNNNNNNNNNNNNNNNNNNNNNNNNNNNNNNNNNNNNNNNNNNNNNNNNNNNNNNNNNNNNNNNNNNNNNNNNNNNNNNNNNNNNNNNNNNNNNNNNNNNNNNNNNNNNNNNNNNNNNNNNNNNNNNNNNNNNNNNNNNNNNNNNNNNNNNNNNNNNNNNNNNNNNNNNNNNNNNNNNNNNNNNNNNNNNNNNNNNNNNAUGAAUAGUAGCCGAUGGAGUAGCGCGCGGUGGAGGCUGGAUGAACAGGAGCCCGUGGAGGCUGGAGGAGAUCGACGGUAGCCCGUGGAGGCUGGAGGGGGUCGACAGUGGAUAUGAACAGUAUCCCGUGGAGUCCCAUUUUGCGGUACGCCACACCCCUCCCGAUGAACAGGACCCCCAUUUCGACCGUAGGAGGUCCGUUUCAUCCGUUUUGCGGUACGCCACACCCCUCCCAAUCAACAGGACCCCCGUUUCGACCGUAGGAGGUCCGUUUCCUCCGUUUUGCAGUACGCCACACCCCUCCCGAUCAACAGGACCCCCGUUUCGACCGUAGGAGGUCCGUUUCCUCCGUUUUGCGGUACGCCACACCCAUCCCGAUCAACAGGACCCCGUUCUGAACGUAGGAGGUCCGUUUCCUCCUUGUGCGGUACGCCAGGCCUCGUUUCCAUCGCCUGUUCCGUCCAAGCCCUCCCGAUGAACACGACCCAGCCGGUUGGCUCCCCAUGAACACGACGACGAUGCUGUUUCUCUGUUCCGACCCAGCCAUGUACGUAUGCACGAGUAGGCGUUCGAGACCCUGCCCGUAUGUACGUACGUGCCGUAUUUUCUUUCUUGCACCCUCACCACUGUAAGUAUGUGUACAUGCUACGUGUGCGCCUCUACUACGACAUGUGUGCGCCUCUACAUCCACCAGUAUAUAUGUACGUACACGUUCGCGACCAUAAUGACAACGCUACGUACGCUUCGACCAGGUGGGUCCCGACUGUCAGGCACUUCCUUGCAUGCGAAGAUGUAGCUGGUGGGUCCCAGCAGUAAGGGGGGCGAAUAGUUUUUUUGCCCGGACGCACUUCCUUGCGUGCGAAGAUGUAUGUGGUGGGUCCCAGCAGUCAGGGGGGCAAAUGUUUUUUUGCCCGGACGCACUUCCUUGCGUGCGAAGAUGUAGCUGGUGGGUCCUAACAGUCAGGGGGGCGAAUCGUUUUUUUUCCCGGACGCACUUCCUUGCGUGUGAAGGUGUAGCUGGUGGUCCCAGCAGUCAGGGGGGAAACAUUUUUUUUUUGCGAAAUAUGGUGGCCCGUCUGGUGGGUCCCCGCUGUCAGGUGGAGGAAUAAUUAUUUUGCGCGUAAUAAGGAGGCACUUCCUUGCUGCGGCCGUGGACCCAACUGUCAGCCUCUCCACGUACAGUCCACGUCCGAUGGAAGACAUUCCUUGGCCAUGUUGACCACGCCGCGCUGAGAGCACCAGGGCGGUGGACGACGGCGAGGCCUAGGAAGGGGACGAUGCGGAGCCGGGGAAGACGCGGCAGUGGAUGCCCACGCGUAGAGGAGUACGAGGGUUCACUGGUUCGCUGCGGUGUGAGGCUGCCGUCGUCGCAGAAUAACAGGGGGUGUGGGUGAGUAGAGGGAUGGCCUGGCCAGCGGUGGGAGUAGUAGGGGGCGGUGAGGCCUCCGCCGCAUCGUAGCCGGCCACGGGAGGCAGGAGCACGAGGCACGACCGGCGUUGGUUUGGGCGGCUGGAGCAAGAAGACCAGUGGUUGAAGAAGUACUACGGCCGUUGGAUGGAUAUCGUAAGGUCACUGGAUCUAGAAUCAUGCAUAUUUACUAAGUUGACAAAGCCCUCCGUCCCCGUCAACUUAGUAGGCCCACAAGUCAGCCUGCCACUAUACUGGGUCCCAGCUAACAGGGGGUGUAUUCAGUUUUUUGUGCGUAAUAAGGAGGCACUUCCUUGCGUACGAAGAUAUAGCUGGUGGGUCCGAGCUGUCAGAGCCGGCCGCGGGGAGGAGGCAGCAGGCAGUCCCACCGGCGCUUGUUUGAGCGGCUGGAGCAGGAACAACAGAGAUUGAAGAAGCACGACGGCCGUUGGAUGGCCAUCCAACAAUCACUGCUUGUGUGUCAACCUUUUUUUAGGAAAGCCUCAAAUCUGUGGAAAACAGCAUACAACCCAUCUGCCAUUAUUUUUUAAUAAUUUACAGCCCAUUUGCUAAUUCUUAAGGGUUUUUUGGAGCCCAUAUUCUUUUUGUUAGCAUUACAGCCCAUAUUGUGGCCACGGUUAAAAACUUAUACGAAAUUUUGCAUAUUUCGGUGCGGUCCGAACUGUUUUUAAUCCCGAAAUUUCGACUCACAUUCAAACUAAUUUUAAAAAUAAAUGUAUAUCAAUAUAAAAUCCAACAAAUUCUCCACACAUAAAAAUUAAUAUAAUUUAAAAUCUCGAAAUGAAAAAAAGGUAUUUGAAACUAAUUGCCGGUUUGAUGUGUUUUAAAAAUGUACAACCCAUUUCUCAUUACUGAUGGGCCAUUUUAUCGGCCAGCCGAAUGAAAGCUCUCCUCGUCUUGAAAGAUUUGCAGCCCAACAAGCCUGACAAAGCGACUUACUUGGCAAAUCACAAAAAAACUGGGCUAUGGUAGUGGACCCAACUGUUAGCCUCUCCACGUACAGUACUCUUUCGAUGGAAUGUCGUGGACCACAUUGACCACACCGCGCCGAGAGCACCAAGGCGGUGGACGACGACGAGGCCUAGGAAGGGGACGACGCGGAGCCGGGGAAGACGCAGCAGUGGAUGCCCACGCGGAGAGGAGUAUGAGGGUUCACUGGUUCGGCUGCGGUGUUAGGCUGCCGUCGCCGCAGGGCCUGGCUAGCGGUGGGAGUAGUAGGGGGCGAUGAGGCCUCAACGGCAGCACAGCCGGCCACUGGAGGCAGGAGCAGGCGGUCUCCCCGGCGCUGGUUUGGGCGGCUGGUGCAAGAAGAGCAGCGAUUGAAGAAGCAGCAAGACCGUUUGAUUCAAAUCCAACGGUUACUACUUCUAGAAUCGUUUGUUGACUAAGUUGACAAGCCCUGCGUACGCGUCAACGUAGUAGGCCCACAGGCCAGCCUCCGAACUGGUGCGCCCCAGAUGUCAGUGGGAGGAAUCAUUUUUUUUGCGUAAUAAGGAGGCAGUUGAUUGCGUGCGGCCAGGCCAGCGGAGGGAGUAGGGUGGGCCGGGGAAGCCUGCGCGGCAUCACAGCGGGCCACAAGAGGAGGGAGCAGGCAGUCCCGCCGGCGCUAGUUUAGGCGACUGGAGCAGGAAGAUCAGAGAUUGAAGAAGCACGACGGCUAGAAUCGUGUGUUCACUAACAAAGCCUUGCGUAAACAAGUCAGCCGCCCGUUUUCCAUUUUUAGAAUUGCCGGCCAUUUUCUGAUCAGUACCAGGGUAAAAAAAUUAACUAAAUAUGUGGGAAAUUUUUGCUGGGGAACAAAAUAUUUUUAAUCCAAAAAUAAAUAGCCAUACUAAAACAAAUUUAAAAAUAAAUUAGUACUAUGUCAUGUUAAACCCAAUGAAAUAUGUAUAAGAUAUCAGUGAAGAACAAAAUUAAAAAAAAAC